rnacentral:rRNA from 1 species
CAAAGGAAGCGAUUCCGGCGGGGGAUGGGCAUGCGGCGCAUUAGCUAGUCGGCGGGGUAACGGCCCACCGAGGCGACGAUGCGUAGGGGUUCUGAGAGGAAGGUCCCCCACACUGGUACUGAGACACGGACCAGACUCCUACGGGAGGCAGCAGUGAGGAAUAUUGGUCAAUGGGCGUAAGCCUGAACCAGCCAAGUCGCGUGAGGGAAGACGGUCCUACGGAUUGUGAACCUCUUUUGCCGGGGAGCAACGGGGUCCUUGCGAGGGCCCUAUGAGAGUACCCGGAGAAAAAGCAUCGGCUAACUCCGUGCCAGCAGCCGCGGUAAUACGGAGGAUGCGAGCGUUAUCCGGAUUUAUUGGGUUUAAAGGGUGCGUAGGCGGGCUGUUAAGUCAGCGGUCAAAUGUCGGGGCUCAACCCCGGCCUGCCGUUGAAACUGGCGGCCUCGAGUGGGCGAGAAGUAUGCGGAAUGCGUGGUGUAGCGGUGAAAUGCAUAGAUAUCACGCAGAACUCCGAUUGCGAAGGCAGCAUACCGGCGCCCUACUGACGCUGAGGCACGAAAGCGUGGGUAUCGAACAGGAUUAGAUACCCUGGUAGUCCACGCAGUAAACGAUGAAUGCUAGCUGUCCGGGACUUCGGUUCUGG